CAGGGUUGGCAGCUGUAGAGAAAGUAUUAUUUGUUUGCAACAUUAGUUGUGUUAGAUUGAAAGUUUAUUUCUUAUGGGAUUUUUAAUGUUAAUGAUUGAGCUAAUAAUAAAUUAAAUCAUGCAAUUGACAUCAGAACUGUGAAUGACAGAAAUUUGGGGAGGCUGAGAGAGAGAAGGAGAAAGAUGUUGACUACACCUAUCUUCUAUAGACUUUGUUCAUUUUACACAUUCUAUUUUGCAUGUCUGUUGGUGGUUAAUUUAAUUAUUUUCUAACAGGCUAGUACAGUUUUUGUCUGUUAAAUGAGUGAGGAUGUUUUACUGUGCAGAUCCUGAUCAUAGAUCAUGCGGACACCAUUGCCACGCAGAAUUGGUUACAUGUAAACAGUGUGGUUGAGCAGCUGAACUGCUUACCCUCAAAGCAGCACAGAAUGGAUGUUACGCGCACGAGGCAGUGGUACUGGGAUGGAUAUGCAAGGUUCUAUCAUCAUCAAUAGUACCUGGGUAUGUUUUGAAUCCAGGAAAGUCAGACCCCAAAUUCCUAUUUUUCCCUGUCAAAUGUCAUCUUCCACAAACAUCACAGUAGGCAAGUCUUGUGAAAAAUAACAGGUACAAAAUGUGUGCAAAUUUUUUCCAUUGGGGUAAGUUAUAUACAGGUUUAAUUCAGUGAAAGAACAACCUUUGAAGUAACAAAGGAUGUGUGUUAUGUAGCUGUAGCCGCACUAUUAUUUCUUCAUCAAAAUUUCCCGUACUUGCUUGAAGCACAGGGCCUUCUGCAAUCACUGUGGUCAUGCACAAAGCAGCAUACGGAUGUUGAGUUCUUGUGUGUAUAUGUUCUUGUAUGGUCAUUGCACUGUGGUUAAAUUUCACUUUCUCUUUUCCAUUUUGUUCUUUUUGGGUGGUGAGGUUUUUGGGGCUAUCAAAUUGCUGUCGCUCUUCUUGGGUUUCAGAUGCACAGGAUGAGGAAUAGCUAACUCUUCGAUAAAGUAUAUCAGGUGAUCUAACCUGACAAUACUCUUGCAGAUAUGAAUGCCCUGUUCAAUCAUCACUGCCUUAAUUAUGAGGG